UGUGUAGGCGGAAAAGUAAGCGUUUUGUGAAAGCCCCCGGCUUAACCGGGGAAUUGCUUGGCGAACUGCUUUUCUUGAGGCAGACAGGGGUGCGUGGAACUCUUGGUGGAGCGGUGGAAUGCGUAGAUAUCAAGAGGAACGCCAGUGGUGAAGACGGCGCACUGGGUCUGAACUGACGCUGAGACACGAAAGCGUGGGGAGCGAACAGGAUUAGAUACCCUGGUAGUCC
rnacentral:rRNA from 1 species